UAGGUCUUGUAAUUAGCUAUCUCUGAAAACAUUUCCAGCAAAAAAACGAUGGCCUUUCGGAGAAAAUCGCAUUUCAAAUUUUUUUGGAAAACAACUAUGCUUUUUCAAUUUUCAACUUUUUGAAAAAACUCCACGCGCAAAGAAAGAGCAUUAAAACCCACGUGAAAUGAGUGAAACAGAAUAUAUAAUAUUCCAAAAUAUUCCAAAAAUUCAGUCUUAUACAAAAAUGGUUGAGGAAAAAAUUUUAGGUCUUUCAAAAAGCUACAAUUACUCCCUAAAAAUGGCUUGCAUGUCUGUCGUCGUUUGGCUUAAUAUUCGAAUUUUGCAUAGAAUUUUAGAUGGAUAAAUCCGUAACCGUCGGUCAAGAAUGUUGAUUGACGAACUCGCUACUUCUUUUAAAACUUCAAAAUACUGGGCCUAGACACGAUUUGAUACGUUCAUCUUUUCAAAGGUUAUCGUGUUUACGGACAUACAGACUGGCAGACAGACCGUCAUCGCCAAAACAUGUUUUUUGGCUUUAGGGGGUCUCAAAACGUGGAGAUUCAUUGAAAAACUAAGGUGUGAAAUUUCGGAAGAUUCUAUAACACUUUUUCAACCAUGAAUGAUGAAAAUGUAAAGAGAAAUAAGGGAAUAAAUUCAUUUAAGGGUGUUGAUUAAAUCCGACUUUUAAUUUUUUUUAUAAUUGCGGCACUGACUCAAUAUAUAUUUUUCCGAAGGAUUUGAAAACGAAAAUAAGAAAACUUAGUAGGUAGGUAGGUGUAGUUCUGGACCAAUUUAUCCGUACGAUUAGCAAACUUGCGGCUAGAGCGCAGAAGGCUAUGAGAUGGGUUUCGCUCCUUGUGCUGACUUACAAAUCACAGUGUUGUAUCCGAUUCUCACUAUCGAUAUUGAAAAUCAUUACUGAAAUCCGGGAAUGGAAAUUUUUCACUUAAACAUAUGGAACAUGAUAUGAUGUCUGACGUCACAGUAUAAAGUGAGGUUUAGCGUAUUCGAAGCUUCUCGGAAAUACCAUAAAUCAUAUGUCACCUUAUCAUCUUGAAAGACUCAUUUCACACCAUACGUUGAUGAAUUUUAAAAAAACCUCUUGCGCGCUAAAACAAAUAACCCUAAAAUUCCUUCUAGAAGCUUCCUAGGUCAAUCAUCUUAAGAAAUUUGUACGUGUACCCUCAAAAAUAUUUACCCCCACUUAUCGAUUCUGUGAAAUCUCUCUUGUACACUAAAAAUAUGUGUCAUCAUCUAUCCCCGGAUUUGGAGUUUUGUUCGUCUCAAAGUAAUAUAGAAUAUUAUUUUAGAGGUCUAAUACCAGUGGUUAUUUGAUGUUUGUACGACACAGGUCUCUGUAUUGUAAGGUUGAUAAGUAGAAGAACUAUUAUAUCAUGAUCAAUUUUUAUUAUGUUUUAAAAACCAAAGUAAUAUAAUUUAUUUAUUAUAUUAUUAUGAGAGAAGUUGUAGGCUCUAGAAGCUACGAUCAUGAUUCCUUGAAGCAAGUAAUCCCGAAAGAACUGGAACGUGUACGUCAUCCACUGCUGCUCCUUCUAUUCCAGAAGGAUAGAAAACGAAAAAGUGGGGCAAAUUUUACGAACCCAGAGAAGCAGAUGUUUACAGUAAUCGUUCAAAUAUAAAAGAAUAUUAUGGAAAAUAAAAGAAGAGAUGCUGUUACCACCAAAGAAGAAGCUCAAGCCUUGGAGAAAAUUUCCCAAGAUUUCAACGCGAAGGGAAUUUCUCCGGAACAUCGUCUCAAUGACAAAUUGAAAGUUUUGUAGGUUAAUCUCAAACGAAAUGCCUGAAAUCAUUUCAGUAAUUUACGUCAAGAAACUUUUAAACCCGUCACUGAACAUCCUCGAUCAGGAGGUGUAGUACCACUGGAAUCCAGCAAUUCUGAGGACGAAGAAAAGUCCUGCGUUGCAGAUUCGUACUAUUACAAAUAUUCAAGGAGAACUUCUUCAGAUUCCAGCAACAUACAGGGGCAAGCAUUAGCAGAUACUGCUGCACAAAGGGAGCAGGUUCGUUUGGACGAGAAAACGCUCUGAGGAGGGCGAGCCCCUAAUUCAAGCAAAAUUAGAAUACGUCGACGUAAUAAAAAGAGAAGCUGAGGAAAAAGCUAAACUGCAGAAGGAGUUUUUUAUAAAUAAUCUAAUUGAGCAGGACUUAAAAAUUGCAAUUUUGCGUAAACAGGUAGAAAAGAAUUGAUUUAUAGCUGAGUCGGUCGGCUGGCUCUGUACGGCCUCUACGCCAAAAAUGUUGUGAAUACUGUAUUAAAUAAUUAUAUUGAAAUUAAAGAGAUCCUAAAAAUA